rnacentral:pre_miRNA from 1 species
AAAAAGACAAACCCUGGUUUCCGUGCCCAAUAUUUGACCGUCCGUCUUAUUUGAAAAAAUUAAAAAGACAAGUCAUGCAUAAAAUAUUAAUCAUGUUUUAUCAUCUAACAACAAUGAAAAUACGAAUUAUAAAAAAAUUUCAUAUAAGACGGACAGUCAAAGUUGGACACGAAAACCCAUGAUUUGCCUUUUU